UAACAAUACAAUGUAAAACACUCUCACAGAAACAGUAAAAUUCCUCCACUCUAUCCUGGAGAUAAUUGGCUUAAGUGGCUGAAGUAAACUUAAUUAUCUCCAGGUACAGAAAAUAUCUCCAAGUUACAACUGCAACAAAACACAUUAAAAUACAUAAUUUAUAUUCCACAGAACUUAACCCCCACAUGUGACAUAUCCUCCGAUAGAUUGGAUCUUAGCGCUCAAUAUAUCCGAACAGCGCUCAGAUCCUACGAACACAGUCAAAU